CAAAGCCCAGCCGCUGAUCAGCUGGGAUCCGGGCGUGCCACUUCGUUCCGCGCCUCAAAGGCGGAGUGCGGGGCUGUGGGAGAAAACGAGAGCCUCGGGCUGUCGCCCGGCGACGGGCGGCUGAGGCCUUCGUAUUCUUAGAACUUUUAGAAUCUGAAGCAAACUUAUCUUCCCCCUGUCUGAAGAAGGGGAGCAGGUUUCUGAGUACUCCGGGGCGCGGUGCCUCCCCCUAAACGCGAAUGGUGCGCUCCAAGCGGGAGGGGGAGGAGCAGAUUAGUUGUGUAGGGUAAAUUGGGCCAGUCCCAGAGUGGCGGCGCAUGCGCCCGUAGAACCCGUAACCGAGUGCGAGGAGGGGCCUGGGGGAGCAAUGCCAAACGCGGAAGUGGAGCUCUGGCUUCCCGGGGGCGUCGGAGUCAAGGUCCCUGGAGCUGCCGCUCUGGCUCCUGGGCGAUUCCGGGGAGCCAUUCUCCCCAAUUUGCCAACUCCCUGGGCAUCUCUCUCUCUCUUCCUGGUCCCGCCACACCCAAACAACUCUUAUAGUUCCACCCGGUAUACUGGUCUCUUGACAGGAACUUUUGGGAAAUGCCCCUCCCCCAGCCCCUUGUCUGGGGCAACUUCCUUGUCUCUUCUCCCCCACCGGUGUUGGGGAGUUCCUUGUCUCCACUCCCAACCACAGAGCCACAAGUACAUUAUCUAUGCCCAGGCGAGUCCCUAUGCCCAGGCUAGGAGAGCCGCACUUCUUCCUACAGCUGACACGUUUGGUUUUUGGAGGGGAAAGGGGAGCUGUAGCUGAAUCAGUAAUGGAAAUUGUUAGUCAUGAACAGAGAAAUCGAUUAUUGAUGACUAAUUCAACACGGAGGCAACAUCCUCCAGACCUUUUGGAGACCCAUCGCUGAGGAAGACUUCCUGGCUCUUAGGAAUAGCUGCCGUAUACCCUCCUUGCCUGUCGGGUAUAUCAGAGCCUCAGAGAGACUAUUACCUAGAUUAAUUUGAUUACCAAAUGUUGCUAUCUUAUUUCUUUAUAUACCAAAUCACAUUUCUGUUUGUGCAUACUGUGUGGGUUUGUUAACAUUGAUGUUUAUUUUGGCCUCUAAAGAGCAAGGAUCGCAUUUAGCUUAAUAUGCCACAGAUGCUGUUGAUGGUGAAGUUAAUGAUUGCAAAAAUCAAGCACUUAAAGCCAAAACACCCUAAAAUGUGAGUGCUGAUUUAUUAUGCACAAUGUUUAGUUUUAAUUUGGUGGAUUUUCCAAAGCCUUCAAUAAGUAUAUCUGUAAGAAAGUGCAUAGAAAAAGCCGGACGCUGUGGCUCACGUCUGUAAUCCCAGCACUUUGGGAGGCCAAGACGGGUGGAUCACCUGAGGUCAGGAGUUCGAGACCAGCUUGGCUAACAUGGUGAAACCCCGUCGCUAGUUAAAAAAAAAAUACAAAAACUUAGCCGGGCAUGGUGGCACGCGUGUAAUCCCAGCUACUUGGGAGGCUGAGGCAGGAGAAUCGCUUGAACCCGGAGGGCGGGUGUUGCAGUGAGCCGAGAUCAUGCCAUUGCACUCCAGCCUGGGCAACAAGAGCGAGAGCGAAACUCUGUCUCAAAAAAAGAAAGAAAGAAAGAAAAAAUGCAUAGAAAGGAUAAAGCCAUACAGCACACCUUGCUCUCAUUGGAUUCAUAUUACCCUUAAAUCUUCAUUUAAGCCGACAUAAAAUUCCCACAUGCGUGAGAUACUUAACAGCCUUUGAGUUUAACAAAGAUUAAGUGGGAUUAUCUCUCUUGGCAUCUUGAUGAUUUUCUUUUAUGUACAGAAAAGGAAACUCGACAACUAAAAGGAGAAUUCAACAUAAAAAGUGAUUGUCAUUUUCCAAACUGCUUUCCUGUUUGCCAGUUAUUCAACAAACAUUUAUUCAGUACCCAGUAUACACAAGGACUUUGCUAAGCACUCUGGAGACUAAAAGGAUUAAUAAAAUGUAGCAUUCACCAGCAGGUCCCUACAUAUAAUGUAGAUAAUUUGGUUCCAGUCUUCCUCUCAGACUUCAUUUUCUACUCUUCUCUAUUCACUCUGCGAAGCAGACACUAGUUGCCAUUCCUCAAAUACCUUGCUUUCCCACAUCUCCAUUCCUUUGUCCUCCUGUUCCUGACUGCUUCAGCUGCCUUUUCUCUUUAUAUGUAUACACACAACACAAGGAGAUAAUCUUAUACAACCCAAGGACACAGAGAGCAGUAAGAUCGCAUGAAGGACUGAAAUAGGUACCUAAUACAUCAACAGGAAGCCAAGUGUUUGGUUUUUUUCGAUAUCUUUUUCUCUCUGGUUACAGGUUCUUCCAUCUCUGCUUCUCUCUACAAAGCUGCUUUAUAAUCUCGGCAGAGCUGUUUUCACUGCUUUUUUGGGAACGUAAUCCAGGUUUACCCAGCCUCACUUCAAGAACAAACAGAGACUAAUUAGUAUCUAUGAAUCCCAAUCCCCAGGAGAAAGAAACUGAUUGGUUCGAUUUAUGUCCGCUUGUGUACUCUUGGUACAAUCACCUUUGACCAACAGGGCAGUUAUGUAGUCAGGUCUUUUUGUUUUGUAAAGCAGACAUGGCUGCCAGAACCCCAUCUUUGUAGGCUAUGUUCUCAAAGUUAUGUACUUGGCAAAGAUUCCAAAAAAUGUCCACCACAGACCAUAAAGGAGUAAAUUGCAGCUGAACUUCAAAAGCAUAAAGAACAAUUGACAUGUUAAGGAUUUUCAACAGACUGACUCCUACUUAAACAAAUUCAGACCUGAAUUUAAAUGGAACUCCUUCAAAGAAGUCAUCCCUGACCCAAGCCCCAAUCAAAAUUUGGUGGCCCCAUUAUUAUCUUACAUGGCACUCUUUUUCUUUAUAGUACCUAUCAUAGUUUAAAUAUGUAUUUGUGAGUCUCCUCUCCAAAAAUCAUGUCUGUUUUGUUUACUGUGAUAUACACAAUACUCAAGGUGCAUUUGGGAGGCGUUCAAUAAAUGUUGUAUGAAUAAAAGCACAA